rnacentral:rRNA from 1 species
UCACUUCUGGAUGGACCUGCGGUGCAUUAGCUUGUUGGUGGGGUAAUGGCCUACCAAGGCGAUGAUGCAUAGCCGAGUUGAGAGACUGAUCGGCCACAAUGGGACUGAGACACGGCCCAUACUCCUACGGGAGGCAGCAGUAGGGAAUCUUCCACAAUGGGCGCAAGCCUGAUGGAGCAACACCGCGUGAGUGAAGAAGGGUUUCGGCUCGUAAAGCUCUGUUGUUAUAGAAGAACACGUAUGAGAGUAACUGUUCAUACGUUGACGGUAUUUAACCAGAAAGUCACGGCUAACUACGUGCCAGCAGCCGCGGUAAUACAUAGGUGGCAAGCGUUAUCCGGAUUUAUUGGGCGUAAAGAGAGUGCAGGCGGUUUUCUAAGUCUGAUGUGAAAGCCUUCCGCUUAACCGGAGAAGUGCAUCGGAAACUGGAUAACUUGAGUGCACAACAGGGUACUGGAACUCCAUGUGUAGCGGUGGAAUGCGUAAAUAU